UUCUGUGAAAUUCUGAUAAAUCAUGUAAGAUGACAUUGUCUGAUGAUAAAAACUUUAAUAAGAUGAAUAAAAGGAAAAAGGCACAACCAAACUAGUAACACCGAGGAAUGGCAGGAAGGAGAGUGGGAAGAAGAGAGGUGCCAUACAUACCUGUUGAACCUUCUCAUAUCUUCCUGACUGGAUUUACUGAUUCCUGAGGUCAUACGGUACUUGGUUUCCUGUUUUAAGGCAUAUAAACUAAGUCAUCUGGAAUUGUGCAACUCCUUCUGCCAGGAAGCUGGAAAGGCCCCUUUCCUGUGCAGAGAGAAAAAUACAGACUCAUCUCAACAGCUGAGAAAUUGCAGAAAUGCAGCAUUCAUCUUUGGGUUACUUUUAUAUAGUAAAGAGCUGUGGCUAAUAAUUGUGCUUCUGACUGUUAAAAAUUGUACUUUUAUCCUGUCCAAGGUGUUAUGUUUAUUUAAAACUUGAGAAAAUAAAAAUGUACAUUUAAAAAAAUGAAAC